UACUCUAACUUGGACUUCCUUUGAUGGCU
rnacentral:piRNA from 1 species